UAGAGUUUGAUCCUGGCUCAGGACGAACGCUGGCGGCGUGCCUAAUACAUGCAAGUCGAACGAACUCUGGUAUUGAUUGGUGCUUGCAUCAUGAUUUACAUUUGAGUGAGUGGCGAACUGGUGAGUAACACGUGGGAAACCUGCCCAGAAGCGGGGGAUAACACCUGGAAACAGAUGCUAAUACCGCAUAACAACUUGGACCGCAUGGUCCGAGUUUGAAAGAUGGCUUCGGCUAUCACUUUUGGAUGGUCCCGCGGCGUAUUAGCUAGAUGGUGGGGUAACGGCUCACCAUGGCAAUGAUACGUAGCCGACCUGAGAGGGUAAUCGGCCACAUUGGGACUGAGACACGGCCCAAACUCCUACGGGAGGCAGCAGUAGGGAAUCUUCCACAAUGGACGAAAGUCUGAUGGAGCAACGCCGCGUGAGUGAAGAAGGGUUUCGGCUCGUAAAACUCUGUUGUUAAAGAAGAACAUAUCUGAGAGUAACUGUUCAGGUAUUGACGGUAUUUAACCAGAAAGCCACGGCUAACUACGUGCCAGCAGCCGCGGUAAUACGUAGGUGGCAAGCGUUGUCCGGAUUUAUUGGGCGUAAAGCGAGCGCAGGCGGUUUUUUAAGUCUGAUGUGAAAGCCUUCGGCUCAACCGAAGAAGUGCAUCGGAAACUGGGAAACUUGAGUGCAGAAGAGGACAGUGGAACUCAUAUGUAGCGGUGAAAUGCGUAGAUAUAUGGAAGAACACCAGUGGC
rnacentral:rRNA from 1 species